UCUGAGGAAGCGACUUCCUCCUGGACAAGAGCUAAAGAGAUCCACAACCUUAACAAAUUAAGCCUCCAAGAUCUGAUGAGAAAGCCAUGGCCCACCUCCACUGAAACCCACACGAGGAACCAAUGGAAGAGAAACCUUCGCUCUAUGCUGUGUAACUCUACUUUUUCUUCUUCCUCAAGAAGGAUCGGCAUCAACAAGAAUCUUUAAGAGAAGAGCACAAGACAGGAAGUUACGAGAGCAAAGGCUAUAAUUGGAGCCAUCAUCUCCGGCUGAGAGGCUAAAUGAGGGAUCCCUCGACUCCGGGAUUACCCUUUUAUUGGGAAGACGUUCCGCUAAGCCUCCGCCACUGACACAUAUUCCUCUUCUAUGGCCCAUUCUCGUCCAAAUAUGUCCUGUCAGGGAGGCUUACCCAAAUCUACAUAAUCCCUUUUCAGCACAAUUAAAGAUACCAGUGAACAAUAAAAUUGCUUGCUCUCUGGUUUGUUUCCUGUCGCUUUGAGGUGUGGAAGGUUACACACGCGACAAUAUUUCAACUUUGCAAAAAAACUCAAACUACUUUGUGUUUUUGUUCUGGCUUUGAUGGCAUGGAAAAUGAUGGCAUGAAAACAAAAGCACACAAUAAAACACAUACUUAACAAAUGUGCUACAAAAUGUUCAAGGAAAUGAUUGAAGAAUUGUAAUUGUAAUUAGUAAUAAUUAGUGUAAUUUACUGUAAUUUUAGCUGCCCUGAUCGCAGUGUUGGCUGCACUUUGUUAUGUUCUUAGCUGCUGGAACAUCAACAUUUCCCCAAUGUGGGCAAAUAAAGGUUUGUUUUAAAUUAAAACUUCAUACGUUGAAUUAAAAUACAGUACAUAAACAGUAAUCCCUCGUUUAUCGCAGGUAAUUGGUUCCAGACGCCACCAAUCGAUAGGUGAAUUUCCACGAAGUAGGAUUCCUUCUUUAUAAGUGGAAUAUUUCCAUAGUUAUAUAGACCCUGUUUACAACCUUCUAAAUACGGGUUUUAACAUUAUUAGAGCCCUCUAGACAUGAAAUAACACUUCUAUAGUCACUUUUACGCUCCUAUUACAUAAUACAGUAAACAUAAUAAGAGAAAAUACAUAAGACUUGUGCUCGUGUGUGUUGCAGUAAAUGUGUUCCAGUGCUAGGGGAGCGGAGUGCGGGGGAGUCAGGAAGUGACAUCGGGGGUUUCAGAGUUGAGUUUUAGCUCGGCCUGGGUGGAGGCCACAACAGUAGCCUGUGCUAGGGAUUGUUGUGGCUGUUAGAUCAUUCAAACCUGCAAUUAAAGCCUGUUGUUCCACCAGUCAAGCAUGGUGCUUGUGUGUCUCACCCAACAUUACAGUAACAUUACUGGCACCUAGUGAUCAGUGUUGAAUACUACAUAUCGUCACAAAGUCUUUGCACGCGUCCUCUGAAUGCCUUAUAUUUGUAUUUUACUUCAUUUUUAUGCUGGAAAAUGCUUUAUUAGGCCAAAAAUAUGUAAAACUGACUAAUAAUAGGCCAUAUUCAACCACAAAACAGCAUUAUUUACUAAUAUAUUUUUGAAAAAACGUGAUAGAGUGAAGCAGCAAAAUUGAAAGCACAAAGCAGCGAGGGAUGACUAUUAUUUCCCAUUAAAUUCCAUUAAAACAAACUGAAAAUGUUUUAUACUUUACAAAGAUAAUAAUUCUUUAGACCUUUGCGUAUACAGUGGAAUCUCGGUUUGCGUCCACCCUGGUUUGUGUGUUUUUUCGGUUAACGUAAAAAAAAUUGCCUCAGUUUGCAUGCGUUCUCCGGUUAGCGUACAAGACAGUGCACGUUUUGUCGUGUUAUUAAGUCUAACUGUAUUAAAGUUUUAAAUGCAUAAAACAAUUCUAAAUGCAUAUAAAUGAUGAAUGAAAGGGAAAACUAAACGUUUAAGAUUACUUUUAACUUAAUUGAAGGCAUGAUUGUUUCCAAAGACACAAUGUGGCAGCGAGACCUCACACAGACACCACCUUCCUGCCACAAGUUAUUUCUUGAAUUCAAUAGUGUUUUUUGUCUUCUUUAUCAAAACGCUGGCACUUGCAACUUUUUUUGGCUCCAUUUUGGGUUAUUGAGGUGAGAAAAACCAAUAAAUUCAAGAAAUAACUCAUGGUAAAAGAGGAAGGUGGCAUCUGUGUGGUGUCUCGCUGUGUCUUUGGGAACACUCACGUCAAAAAUUCACAUCUUCAAUGAAAGCAAAAGUAACCAUAAAUGUUCAUUUAUCCUUUUCUGUCGUCAUUUGUAUGUAUUUAUAUGCAUUUGCAAUUGUUUUCUGCAUGUAAAACUAUAAAAACGUGUUUUGUGUUAACAUUUUUGGAACGCAUUCAUUGGAUUUAUGUGAAAAACUGAUUUGCUUAUUUGCUUAGCGUCCGUUUUGGUUACAGUCGGACCUUCUGGAACACAUUGAUGCUAUAACCAAGGUUCAACUCUAAUUGGUAACUUAACAACAAUCAGUCAGUAGUAGAAACUGUUACCGGAGUUCUCACAGCAUUUCAGUGAAGAAUAAAUCAAUUAUUUCAGUUACAACUAAAUAGUUACAUAAUAUAUCCAGCCAUUUUAUUGCUGCUUAUCCUUACUACGGUCGCGGGGGCA